rnacentral:sRNA from 1 species
GCUGGGUGCAGUGGUGCAUGCCUGUAAUCCCAGUGACUUGGGAGGCUGAGGCAGGGGGAACUGCAAGUUCAAAACCAGCCUCAG